GUGCUCACUUCAGCAGCACAUAUACAAAAAUUGGAAUGAUACAGAGAAGAUUAGCAUGGCCUCUGCACAAAGUUGACACGUAAAUUCAUGAAGCAUUCCAUAUUUUU